rnacentral:rRNA from 1 species
UACGUAGGGUGCGAGCGUUGUCCGGAAUUACUGGGCGUAAAGAGCUCGUAGGCGGCUUGUCGCGUUGUUCGUGAAAAUUUACCGCUCAACGGUGAACUUGCGGGCGAUACGGGCAGGCUAGAGUACUGCAGGGGAGACUGGAAUUCCUGGUGUAGCGGUGAAAUGCGCAGAUAUCAGAAGGAACACCGGUGGCGAAGGCGGGUCUCUGGGCAGUAACUGACGCUGAGGAGCGAAAGCGUGGGGAGCGAACAGG